UACGGGGGGGGGCAAGCGUUGUUCGGAAUUACUGGGCGUAAAGCGUGCGCAGGCGGUUCUGAAAGUCAGCUGUGAAAGCCCCGGGCUUAACCUGGGAAUUGCGGUUGAAACUACAGGGCUAGAAUCUGGCAGAGGGGGGUGGAAUUCCACGUGUAGCAGUGAAAUGCGUAGAGAUGUGGAGGAACACCGAUGGCGAAGGCAGCCCCCUGGGCUGAGAUUGACGCUCAGGCACGAAAGCGUGGGGAGCAAACAGG
rnacentral:rRNA from 1 species